rnacentral:rRNA from 1 species
AGUGAACGCUGGCGGCAGGCCUAACACAUGCAAGUCGAGCGGCAGCGCGGGGGCAACCCUGGCGGCGAGCGGCGGACGGGUGAGGAAUGCGUCGGAAUCUGCCUCUUUGUGGGGGAUAACGUAGGGAAACUUACGCUAAUACCGCAUACGACCUACGGGUGAAAGUGGGGGACCGCAAGGCCUCACGCAGAGAGAUGAGCCGACGCCGGAUUAGCUAGUUGGCGGGGUAAAGGACCACCAAGGCGACGAUCCGUAGCUGGUCUGAGAGGAUGAUCAGCCACACUGGAACUGAGACACGGUCCAGACUCCUACGGGAGGCAGCAGUGGGGAAUAUUGGACAAUGGGCGCAAGCCUGAUCCAGCCAUGCCGCGUGUGUGGAGAAGGCCUUCGGGUUGUAAAGCACUUUUGUCCGGAAAGAAAAGCAUCCGGUUAAUAACCGGGUGUCAUGACGGUACCGGAAGAAUAAGCACCGGCUAACUUCGUGCCAGCAGCCGCCGCCGUAA